rnacentral:rRNA from 1 species
GACGAACGCUGGCGGCGUGCUUAACACAUGCAAGUCGAACGGAAAGGCCCUGCUUUUGUGGGGUGCUCGAGUGGCGAACGGGUGAGUAACACGUGAGUAACCUGCCCUUGACUUUGGGAUAACUUCAGGAAACUGGGGCUAAUACCGGCUAGGAGCUCCUGCUGCAUGGUGGGGGUUGGAAAGUUUCGGCGGUUGGGGAUGGACUCGCGGCUUAUCAGCUUGUUGGUGGGGUAGUGGCUUACCAAGGCUUUGACGGGUAGCCGGCCUGAGAGGGUGACCAGCGACAUUGGGACUGAGAGACGGACCAGACUCCUACGGGAGGCAGCAGUGGGGAAUAUUGCACAAUGGGCGCAAGCCUGAUGCAGCAGCGCCGCGUGCGGGAUGACGGCCUUCGGGGUGUAAACCGCUUUCGCCUGUGACGAAGCGUGAGUGACGGUAAUGGGUAAAGAAGCACCGGCUAACUACGUG